AUUCUACUCCCUCCGUUGCACAAUACAUGCCUUCUAUUUGUCAAAAUAUAUAUGUAUCUAGACAUGUUGUAGUAUAUAGGCACAUCCAUUUUUGGACAAAUGGAAGUCAAGUAUUUUGGAACGGAGGGAGUACAAA
rfam:Triticum aestivum genome assembly, contig: Triticum_aestivum_CS42_TGACv1_scaffold_096141_2AL